GAGUUUGAUCGUGGCUCAGAUUGAACGCUGGCGGCAUGCCUUACACAUGCAAGUCGAACGGUAACAGGUCUUCGGAUGCUGACGAGUGGCGAACGGGUGAGUAAUACAUCGGAACGUGCCCGAUCGUGGGGGGAUAACGAAGCGAAAGCCUUGCUAAUACCGCAUAAGAUCUACGGAUGAAAGCAGGGGACCGCAAGGCCUUGCGCGAACGGAGCGGCCGAUGGCAGAUUAGGUAGUUGGUGGGAUAAAAGCUUACCAAGCCGACGAUCUGUAGCUGGUCUGAGAGGACGACCAGCCACACUGGGACUGAGACACGGCCCAGACUCCUACGGGAGGCAGCAGUGGGGAAUUUUGGACAAUGGGCGAAAGCCUGAUCCAGCCAUGCCGCGUGCAGGAUGAAGGCCUCGGUUGU
rnacentral:rRNA from 1 species